rnacentral:rRNA from 1 species
GGAGGGGGGCCAGCGUUGUUCGGAAUUACUGGGCGUAAAGGGCGCGUAGGCGGCUGCGCAAGUCGAACGUGAAAUCCCUCGGGCUCAACCGGGGAACUGCGUCCGAUACUGCGUGGCUCGAGUCCCCGGAGAGGGUAGCGGAAUUCCCAGUGUAGCGGUGAAAUGCGUAGAUAUUGGGAGAAACACCAGUGGCGAAGGCGGCUACCUGGACGGGUACUGACGCUGAGGCGCGAAAGCUAGGGGAGCAAACAGGAUUAGAUACCCUGGUAGUCCUAGCUGUGAACGAUGGGCACUUGGUGUUGCGGGUAUCGACCCCCGCAGUGCCGAAGCUAACGCAUUAAGUGCCCCGCCUGGGGAGUACGGUCGCAAAGGCUG